rnacentral:ncRNA from 1 species
AUCAUGGCAAUGAGGAAAAGAGUAACUGUCUGAAAGCGCAAAGAGAGUUCCCGGAAGGUGAGAAGGGAAACACCGUAAGAUAGUGAAGUGCAUUUCUGAGCUGGCGCGCCGAACGAAGUAGGCGGCCCGGGAGACGCCCGUUACAGCGCAGGAGUGUAUGGAGCCUGACCGGGUCCCAUAAGCACUUCAAAAGGCCUUGCGGGGUGACCCCAGGGCGAAUCAGGGUGGUAAUCACGGAGCUUCCGUCCCUUGA